GGGCUCAAACCUAAAGAACCCAAAUAUCUAAAUGAAGAGAUUCAAUACUGAAUAGCAAUAUUUAGUGUGCACUUCUCUUUUAGUAAGACGUUGUGAUCCAUUAGGAAUUGUUUGCCCAUAUCGGGUGAAUCAGGUGAGCUACCAAUAGUCUGAUGUUGAAGUUCAUAAUGACAAAUAAUAUGAUCUAUAACGUUUAUAUAUAUUGUCUUGUGAGCAUAUCAUGACUGAUGUAGCUGUCUGAUGGAUUUUAAAGGCUAUAAUAUUAAUAUCUUUGUGGUAUUACCAUACUUUAUUGUGUGGAAUUAUAUUAUGUGCCCGAUCAACAACGGUUUCAUUUGGGAUACCUUUGGGACCCGUCUUGAAACACGGACCAAGGAGUCUAUCUAGUAUGCAAGUAAAUGGGAAUAUAUUGAAACCUAUUUGCGUAAAUAACUUGACUGUUUUUGAUGGGAUUACGAGUUUUUCUUUWUUUUGGGAAGCUCCUCCAUCCCGGGGUAUUUUCAUAACAUAUAUGGGCAACUAUAUAUAGAAAAUAUACCAUGAGCAUACUGGAUAUGACCCGAAAGAUGGUGAACUAUGCCUGAUCAGGUUGAAGUCAGGGGAAACCCUGAUGGAGGACCGAAGCAAUUCUGACGUGCAAAUCG
rnacentral:rRNA from 1 species